rnacentral:tRNA from 1 species
GGGCCAUUAGCUCAAUUGGUAGAGCAGCUGACUCUUAAUCAGUAGGUUGAAGGUUCGAGUCCCUCAUGGCCCACCA